CUGAUCCAGCAAUGCCGCGUGUGUGAAGAAGGCCUUCGGGUUGUAAAGCACUUUUAUCAGGAGAGAAACGCUGUGGGCUAAUACCCGGCGGAAGUGACGGUACCUGAGGAAUAAGCCCCGGCUAACUUCGUGCCAGCAGCCGCGGUAAUACGUAGGGUGCAAGCGUUAUUCGGAAUUACUGGGCGUAAAGCGUGCGUAGGCGGUUUCUUAAGUCUGAUGUGAAAUCCCCGGGCUCAACCUGGGAAUGGCAGUGGAUACUGGGAGGCUAGAGUGUGUCAGAGGCAAGUGGAAUUCCCGGUGUAGCGGUGAAAUGCGUAGAGAUCGGGAGGAACACCAGUGGCG
rnacentral:rRNA from 1 species